GUCUUAUCUUUAAAUACCUGGUGUAUGUUUCCUGGUGAGCCGUCUUUCUCCAGCUUGACCCUCCUGCAAACCUUACUUGUGAGUAAGAUUCCUUUUCUCGGUGCGUGGUCUGUGUCCUCCUUUGACAUCAUUAGGGGAUGAGCAAGGCGGAAGCAGCCCAGCCCAAUGGUGCCAUUGGCACAGCCAGGACACACUGAGGGGACCUGACCACACGCAUGUGCCCAGUCCUGGGACCCGGUACAGGGGUGGCCUCCUUUCCUUCCUGUGGAAUGGGGGUCCUGCAGUGCCAUCCAUAAUGGCUGCUUUCUGUGACUGUGGAAGGUUGGCCACUUAGAACAGAGGAAAAGAGGUUUGAUGCCAGGAUGCAGCCGCUGCAGCCAGGCUCACUAUAGGGACCCCCAGGCCGGCUCCCCUGGGGCGAGGACUGUGGCUGGAGGGCCAGGCUGGGAGGUAGGAGUCAUCCUCCAGCAGCCCCUGGGGCACAGUGAAUGGACCGUUUGUGUUUUAUGAACAGCCCAGUAUCACAGGAAUGCAGCCCAGCCCCACUUUGGGGGCAAGAAGGAGCUGAGAGCUGAGAAAUCAUAAUAAAACACCCCUCCCGGGAAGCACUCGCAUGAAUCACGGUUCAGGUAAUAAUAACCCUUUUGGCAAAAGCGUUUUCUCUGCCCCAAGCCACAGUAUGUGCAGUCGCACAAAGGGCCCUGUGACCGGGCGGCUGUGCCGCCAAGUGCAUGCUCUUGCGGUUCUUGAAUUCUGCUCUUUUCACAGGGCUGGGGCUGGCGAGGAAUUUAGAGGACUCCAAAGCUUCAUGAAAUAAUACUCCGGGGCUGCAUUUAUGUAACAGAUACAUAUAGUUAUUGGGGUCCUAGUCAGAGCAAAAUAAACUUUAAAAAUCUUUAUAUUAAUCUCAUUUGUAGUUUCAUAUUAAGUGAUUUCUCUUUUUUUUGACUAAGGGAAUGGAAACUACCCUGCAGAAUGCGAUGUUGGCAGCCUGAGUGGGUUUAGGGUAUUGAAAGAG
rnacentral:lncRNA from 1 species